rnacentral:misc_RNA from 1 species
UCCUGCAGCACGUCCAAGAAAAUCUUCUAAGGGUUAAAGCAUAAUUGACCGUACUAAAACUGACACAGGUAGGCGAGACGAGUAGUCUAAGGCGCUCGGGAGAACGGUGGUUAAGGAACUCUGCAAAUUGACCCCGUAAGUUCGCGAUAAGGGGUGCCUCCGCGAGGAGGCCACAGUAAAUCGGCUCUAGCGACUGUUUAUCAAAAACACAG